rnacentral:rRNA from 1 species
UCUUGGUUGUAAACUAAUAUUAUUUUACCAGAGUACUACGAAUAGCAAAAUUUAAAACUCAAAGGGCUUGGCGGUGUUUUAGACUCCUCAGGGGAACCUGUCUCAUAAUCGACAAUCCACGUUAAACCUAACCUUUUUUUGUACUACAGUUUGUAUACCGUCGUCGUCAGGUAACUUUCAAAAAAUUAGAAGUUAGCGAAUAAAAUAAUUUUAAUUUAGACGUCAGAUCAAGGUGCAGCUAAUAAAUUGGUGAGGAUGGGUUACAAUUAUAUUUAAUUAUAAUAACGAAUAUAGAAAUGAAACUUUCUUUAUGAAGGAGGACUUGAAAGUAAAAUAAUAUAUAAAAAUUGUUUGAAUAUAGCUCUGAAACGUGC